GUCGAGAAUCUUUCACAAUGGGGGCAACCCUGAUGGAGCGACGCCGCGUGGAGGAUAAGGUCUUCGGAUUGUAAACUCCUGUCAUGCGUGAACAAGGUUGCUUGGAUAAUACCUGAGCAAAUUGAUGGUAGCGCAAGAGGAAGAGACGGCUAACUCUGUGCCAGCAGCCGCGGUAAUACAGAGGUCUCAAGCGUUGUUCGGAAUCACUGGGCGUAAAGGGUGCGUAGGUGGCGUGGUAAGUCAGAUGUGAAAGCCCGGGGCUCAACCUCGGAACUGCAUCCGAUACUGCCAUGCUAGAGUACUGGAGAGGUGACUAGAAUUCUCGGUGUAGCAGUGAAAUGCGUAGAUAUCGAGAGGAAUACCAAAGGCGUAGGCAGGUCACUGGACAGUUACUGACACUGAGACACGAAGGCCAGGGGAGCGAACGGGAUUAGAUACCCCUGUAGUCC
rnacentral:rRNA from 1 species